UAUACAUUACUGUGCAAUACAUAUGUUGUGUAACCAUCCAUUAUCAGGUUUCCCAAAGAUGCCGUUCGUCGGACAAAGUGGAUAGAAGCAAUUUGGCCCCCGCAUAUUCGCCGGGAACCUGCCAAGGAAGCUCAUGUUUGUUCGAAGCAUUUCUUAGAGGAGCAUUUUGAUCGCACGUCCGCGUUCAAAGUCCGCCUACGAGAGCAUGCAGUUCCUACUCUCUUGCUACCUCAUCCAGUACAACAAGGUGAUAGAGCACCUGAUGCAGCAAGCACCGAUUCAUCCUUUGAUUCCCCUCAGCUCAUGCAAGGUUGCGCUGAAGGCUUGCUGCUGCUUGCACAGGUUGCUGCAACUUCUCAUGAAGGCCUCCAAGCUUGCCUCUCCACACCUGCAUCGCCUGACUUAGCUGCAGGCUUCCACGGGCAGUCCACACUCCAACAGGAAGCCAUGGAUAUACAGCAUGAAAGUGCAGAUCCAAUCAGUUUACCUGACCCAGAUCCCUCCAACCUAAGUGCCAGUCAUUUCAUCGAGCCAGCACUUGUACAGACUCCCAUGGAUAUUGGUGAGGAGAGUGAAGCA
rnacentral:misc_RNA from 1 species